UAAUUGCUAGAGGACGAUAUAUUG
rnacentral:piRNA from 1 species